UACAGAGGUCCCGAGCGCUGUUCGGAUUCACUGGGCGUAAAGGGUGCGUAGGUGGCAUAGAAAGUUUGAUGUGAAAGCUCAGGGCUUAACCCUGAAAUGGCAUUGAAUACUGCUGUGCUGGAGGUUUGGAGGGGGGACUGGAAUUCUUGGUGUAGCAGUGAAAUGCGUAGAUAUCAAGAGGAACACCAGUGGCGAAGGCGAGUCCCUGGACAACACCUGACACUGAGGCACGAAAGCUAGGGGAGCAAACAGG
rnacentral:rRNA from 1 species